UACUUUGCUGUUUGUGUGUUGUGAAAAGAUGAGAUGAAAAGGAAAACCAGGCAGAUCGUGAGGUGGCACUCAGGAGCUGGAGCUCUUGCAGCAGGUUGCAUCAGUCUCAUCAGAUCAGGCCUCUGCAGCUGUGAACAGCGCCACCCCCCACAGCAGCACUCAGGCCAACUAACAAGGUGAAACCACCAUCACGUCAUGUGCGAGGUGACAAAUAGGCUCAUAUUUACCAGCAGCCAAGGACACAUAUCACAUAGUCGGCUCAGAUUUGGAAUGUUGCGUAUUCGGGGAUUUACAGCACCGAAUCAAAUGAGACCGCGUCAACCUUGGCCAAAAGAUUAGACCGCUAGUUAAUGUGUAGUCUCGCUUGUCAGACCUUUCUCCACAGUGCUGGGAAGUAGUUAAUAUGAAACUACCGAUACAGGGUAGAGCAGCCCUUUAAGCAAACACUAAAACUGUAUGGGAACCAGACAAACAGAGGUGUUGUUCAAAGCAUUUUAUUGCAUUCUUAUUUUUUUUUAGAAAAAAAAAAAUACAAAAAUUCUGUUGCAACGGUCAUAAAUGUUGCCUUGAGUGAACUGCAGUCAUUCACAUGGUACAGUAAAGUGCUUAUUUGAAAUCAAUACUUUUGUAUUU